GUCAACUACCUCGGGCUAAAGCCCGGAGGCUUGCACAGCUCGGUUGACCAGCCUCAGUCCGCCUUGGGAGCCGAUUGGUUCACCGACUCCCUAAAAGGGACUACGUUGCGUACAGGUCGUCAAGACCCACCCCGGGGUGCUUCCUCAGGUCCGGGCUCUGGAAGGUCGGGUUGCAGACACCCAUAGGGUACGGACGAAACGGAUCCGACCGCCGCACAAGCGGGAGCCGGUACGCAACAUUGCCGAGGGGAGACGCUU
rfam:Leptospirillum sp. Group IV &apos;TBA BS&apos; genomic scaffold D084_Lepto4S00216, whole genome shotgun sequence.